CAUACCUAUAUUUCCCAAUAGGAAACAAUGGGAUGACCUCUGAGUUCCAUGAGUAAUUUUUUUGUUUACAUUUUAACUACAAACAAUGUGGGCAGGUCUCCAUUGCCAACAAUAACAAAGCAGGCAUUGUGACGUCGAACAACAAGCUGGGAAUAGAACGUUCGGAAGGCGAGUUGGUGCCACGGUGCUCAAUAGAACUAAUAGGAGCUGGCAGGGUGAAAAAUACCCUAAAAUAAGGCCUGUUUUUUUUGUGAUUACUUCAAAACCCAUCCCUGCUCCAGCCACGCGUCCAGAUGGAGACCCAGCCUCCAAGGCUCUAGACAGACAGAAGAAGGGCAAGAUGUCAGACGACGAGAUCAUGGACAAACUGAGAACUAUUGUCAGCAUUGGAGAUCCCAAAAAGAAGUACACAACAUAUGAAAACAUUGGAUGGGGGCUUCAGGGACAGUGUUCACAGCCAUUGACGUCGCCACCGGACAGGAGGUAAAGGGGAAUUAAGGGUUGUCAUUGGUCGACUGACCGGGGAUGGAUGGAUUGAGGAGAAUAAGUAAAAGGAAAGAGACCUUGAGAGUUGUGGAAAGAUGUGCAAAGUGGGGCAGAGACUAGAUACAGAAAUGGGGAAAGUGUUUGAAAACUGUAAGCCUGUGUAACUUGUGUGUUGUUCACAUUUAGAGCCUUUAUUUUAUGUGGAAAUGUUGACUGUUGUUCCUUCAUCCCCUCGCUCUGUCUCUCUCUGUCUGCCAUUGGUUUCACCAUCUGAAGUGUUUACAAAUAAAAUCAAACUUUAUUUGUCACAUGCGUCGAAUACAACUGGUGUAGACCUUACUGUGAAAUGCUUACUUAC